rnacentral:rRNA from 1 species
GGGUGAGUAAUAUAUAGUUAAUGUGCCCCAAAGACCGGGAUAGCCACUGGAAACGGUGAUUAAUACUGGAUACACCUAUGUAACAUAAGUUAUAUAGGGAAAUGUUUUUUCGCUUUGGGAUCAGACUAUAUCCUAUCAGUUAGUUGGUGAGGUAACGGCUCACCAAGGCGAUGACGGGUAGCGGGUUUGAGAGGAUGAUCCGCCACACUGGUACUGAGACACGGACCAGACUCCUACGGGAGGCAGCAGUGAGGAAUAUUGCACAAUGGGGGGAACCCUGAUGCAGCAACGCCGCGUGGAGGAUGACGCAUUUCGGUGUGUAAACUCCUUUUAUAUGUCAAGAAAA